rnacentral:rRNA from 1 species
AUUGAACGCUGGCAGCAGGCCUAACACAUGCAAGUCGAACGGUAGCACAGAGAGCUUGCUCUCGGGUGACGAGUGGCGGACGGGUGAGUAAUGUCUGGGAAACUGCCCGAUGGAGGGGGAUAACUACUGGAAACGGUAGCUAAUACCGCAUAACGUCGCAAGACCAAAGUGGGGGACCUUCGGGCCUCACACCAUCGGAUGUGCCCAGAUGGGAUUAGCUAGUAGGUGGGGUAAUGGCUCACCUAGGCGACGAUCCCUAGCUGGUCUGAGAGGAUGACCAGCCACACUGGAACUGAGACACGGUCCAGACUCCUACGGGAGGCAGCAGUGGGGAAUAUUGCACAAUGGGCGCAAGCCUGAUGCAGCCAUGCCGCGUGUAUGAAGAAGGCCUUCGGGUUGUAAAGUACUUUCAGCGGGGAGGAAGGCGGUGAAGUUAAUAACUUCACCGAUUGACGUUACCCGCAGAAGAAGCACCGGCUAACUCCGUGCCAGCCGCCGCCGUAAUAC